rnacentral:rRNA from 1 species
UACGAAGGGGGCUAGCGUUGCUCGGAAUCACUGGGCGUAAAGGGUGCGUAGGCGGUGCAUUAGGUCUGUCGUGAAAUCCCCGGGCUCAACCUGGGAAUGGCGGUGGAAACCGGUGUACUAGAGUAUGGGAGAGGGUGGUGGAAUUCCAGGUGUAGCGGUGAAAUGCGUAGAGAUCUGGAGGAACAUCAGUGGCGAAGGCGGCCACCUGGCCCAAUACUGACGCUGAGGCACGAAAGCGUGGGGAGCAAACAGG